rnacentral:misc_RNA from 1 species
GGCAAGGAGGUAAAAUUUUUUAAAAAA